AACGAACGCUGGCGGCAGGCCUAACAUAUGCAAGUCGAGCGAAGCCUUCGGGCUUAGCGGCGGACGGGUGAGUAACGCGUGGGAACGUGCCCUUUGGUACGGAAUAGCCCCGGGAAACUGGGAGUAAUACCGUAUGUGGUCGAGAGACGAAAGAUUUAUCGCCAAAGGAUCGGCCCGUGUUGGAUUAGGUAGUUGGUGGGGUAAUGGCCUACCAAGCCGACGAUCCAUAGCUGGUUUGAGAGGAUGAUCAGCCACACUGGGACUGAGACACGGCCCAGACUCCUACGGGAGGCAGCAGUGGGGAAUCUUAGACAAUGGGGGAAACCCUGAUCUAGCCAUGCCGCGUGAUCGAUGAAGGCCUUAGGGUUGUAAAGAUCUUUCAGUGGGGAAGAUAAUGACUGUACCCACAGAAGAAGCCCCGGCUAACUCCGUGCCAGCCGCCGCAGUAACAC
rnacentral:rRNA from 1 species